rnacentral:rRNA from 1 species
AACGAACGCUGGCGGCAGGCUUAACACAUGCAAGUCGAACGCCCCGCAAGGGGAGUGGCAGACGGGUGAGUAACGCGUGGGAACAUACCCUUUUCUACGGAAUAGCUCUGGGAAACUGGAAUUAAUACCGUAUACGCCCUACGGGGGAAAGAUUUAUCGGGGAAGGAUUGGCCCGCGUGGGAUUAGCUAGUUGGUGGGGUAAAGGCCUACCAAGGCGACGAUCCAUAGCUGGUCUGAGAGGAUGAUCAGCCACAUUGGGACUGAGACACGGCCCAAACUCCGACGGGAGGAAGCAGUGGGGAAGAUUGGACAAUGGGCGCAAGCCUGAUCCAGCCAUGCCGCGUGAGUGAUGAAGGCCUUAGGGUUGUAAAGCUCUUUCACCGAUGAAGAUAAUGACGGUAGUCGGAGAAGAAGCCCCGGCUAACUUCGUGCCAGCAGCCGCGGUAA